GAUGAACGCUGGCGGCGUGCCUAAUACAUGCAAGUCGAGCGAACGGACGAGAAGCUUGCUUCUCUGAUGUUAGCGGCGGACGGGUGAGUAACACGUGGAUAACCUACCUAUAAGACUGGGAUAACUUCGGGAAACCGGAGCUAAUACCGGAUAAUAUUUUGAACCGCAUGGUUCAAAAGUGAAAGACGGUCUUGCUGUCACUUAUAGAUGGAUCCGCGCUGCAUUAGCUAGUUGGUAAGGUAACGGCUUACCAAGGCAACGAUGCAUAGCCGACCUGAGAGGGUGAUCGGCCACACUGGAACUGAGACACGGUCCAGACUCCUACGGGGAGCAGCAGUAGGGAAUCUUCCGCGAUGGGCGAAAGCCUGACGGAGCAACGCCGCGUGAGUGAUGAAGGUCUUCGGAUCGGAAAACUCUGUUAUUAGGGAAGAACAUAUGUGUAAGUAACUGUGCACAUCUUGACGGUACCUAAUCAGAAAGCCACGGCUAACUACGUG
rnacentral:rRNA from 1 species